rnacentral:rRNA from 1 species
GAUGAACGCUGGCGGCGUGCCUAAUACAUGCAAGUCGAGCGAACGGACGAGAAGCUUGCUUCUCUGAUGUUAGCGGCGGACGGGUGAGUAACACGUGGAUAACCUACCUAUAAGACUGGGAUAACUUCGGGAAACCGGAGCUAAUACCGGAUAAUAUUUUGAACCGCAUGGUUCAAAAGUGAAAGACGGUUUUGCUGUCACUUAUAGAUGGAUCCGCGCUGCAUUAGCUAGUUGGUAAGGUAACGGCUUACCAAGGCAACGAUCCAUAGACGACCUGGGCGGGUGAUCGGCCACACUGGGACGGAGACACGGUCCGGACUCCGACGGGAGGCAGCAGUAGGGAAGCUUCCGCAAUGGGCGAAAUCCUGACGGAGCAACGCCGCGUGAGUGAUGAAGGUCUGCGGAUCGUAAAACUCUGUUAUUAGGGAAGAACAUAUGUGUAAGUAACUGUGCACAUCUUGACGGUACCUAAACAGAAAGCCACGGCUAACUACGUG